rfam:Operophtera brumata OBRT01_Sc01097, whole genome shotgun sequence.
CCAAAGGCUCUUCUGAAAUCCAUAGAGCCACAACACAUACGAGAGAAAAAUAAAU